CUUAUGUCAGUCAAGUCACUAAUUUUUUUGAUUUUUAAUUUUAGAUACAAAAGUUUUGCAGUACUAUUUCAAUCUAGGAUUGCAGUGCUAUUACCACAGCUACUGGCACUCCAUGGUCUAUGUGCCACAGAUGCAGCAGCAGCUUCAUGUAGAGAAUUAUCCAGUCUAUACUGAGCCACCUCUGGUAGAUCAAACCGUUCCUCAAUUCUACAGUGAGGUGAGGAGAGAAGAUGGCAUACAGGCGGAAGCAUCAGCAAAUGAUACUUUUCCGAAUGCUGAUUCUUCAUCUGUCCCUCAUGGAGCAGUCUAUUAUCCAGUAAUGUCAGAUCCC
rnacentral:sRNA from 1 species